GACGAACGCUGGCGGCGUGCCUAAUACAUGCAAGUCGAACGCAGUGGGGACGGGUGAGUAACACGUGGGUAACCUCCCAUCAGAGGGGAUAACACUUGGAAACAGGUGCUAAACCGAUACUGAUGGAUGGACCCGGGGUGCAUUAGCUAGUUGGUGGGGUAACGGCUCACCAAGGCCACGAAUCAUAGCUGAGCUGAGAGGUUGAUCGGCCACACUGGGACUGAGACACGGCCCAGACUCCUACGGGAGGCAGCAGUGGGGAAUAUUCGGCAAUGGACGAAAGCCUGACCUAGCAACGCCGCGUGAGUGAAGAAGGUUUUCGGAUCGUAAAACUCUGUUGUUGGAGAGGCGUUAUCUAAACAAGAAGCAACGGCUAACUACGUGCCAGCAGCCGCGGUAAUUC
rnacentral:rRNA from 1 species